CAGCCGCCACGGUAAUACGGAGGGUGCAAGCGUUAAUCGGAAUUACUGGGUGUAAAGCGCACGCAGGCGGUCUGACAAGUCAGAUGUGAAAUCCCCGGGCUUAACCUGGGAACUGCAUUUGAAACUGUCAGGCUGGAGUCUUGUAGAGGGGGGUAGAAUUCCAGGUGUAGCGGUGAAAUGCGUAGAGAUCUGGAGGAAUACCGGUGGCGAAGGCGGCCCCCUGGACAAAGACUGACGCUCAGGUGCGAAAGCGUGGGGAGCAAACAGGAUUAGAUACCCCAGUAGUCCCUGUCUCUUAUAC
rnacentral:rRNA from 1 species